AGUCGAGCGGCAGCGGAAAGUAGCUUGCUACUUUGCCGGCGAGCGGCGGACGGGUGAGUAAUGUCUGGGAAACUGCCUGAUGGAGGGGGAUAACUACUGGAAACGGUAGCUAAUACCGCAUGACCUCGAAAGAGCAAAGUGGGGGAUCUUCGGACCUCACGCCAUCGGAUGUGCCCAGAUGGGAUUAGCUAGUAGGUGAGGUAAUGGCUCACCUAGGCGACGAUCCCUAGCUGGUCUGAGAGGAUGACCAGCCACACUGGAACUGAGACACGGUCCAGACUCCUACGGGAGGCAGCAGUGGGGAAUAUUGCACAAUGGGCGCAAGCCUGAUGCAGCCAUGCCGCGUGUGUGAAGAAGGCCUUAGGGUUGUAAAGCACUUUCAGCGAGGAGGAAGGCAUCACACUUAAUACGUGUGGUGAUUGACGUUACUCGCAGAAGAAGCACCGGCUAACUCCGUGCCAGCAGCCGCGGUAAUACGGAGGGUGCAAGCGUUAAUCGGAAUUACUGGGCGUAAAGCGCACGCAGGCGGUUUGUUAAGUCAGAUGUGAAAUCCCCGCGCUUAACGUGGGAACUGCACUUGAAACUGGCAAGCUAGAGUCUUGUAGAGGGGGGUAGAAUUCCAGGUGUAGCGGUGAAAUGCGUAGAGAUCUGGAGGAAUACCGGUGGCGAAGGCGGCCCCCUGGACAAAGACUGACGCUCAGGUGCGAAAGCGUGGGGAGCAAACAG
rnacentral:rRNA from 1 species